rnacentral:rRNA from 2 species
GUGACCUCAAAUCAGGUAGGACUACCCGCUGAACUUAAGCAUAUCAAUAAGCGGAGGAAAAGAAACUAACAAGGAUUCCCCUAGUAACUGCGAGUGAAGCGGGAAAAGCUCAAAUUUAAAAUCUGGCAGUCUUUGGCUGUCCGAGUUGUAAUCUAGAGAAGUGUUAUCCGCGCUGGACCGUGUACAAGUCUCCUGGAAUGGAGCGUCAU